AUUGAACGCUGGCGGCAGGCCUAACACAUGCAAGUCGAACGAGUGGCGGACGGGUGAGUAAUGUCUGGGAAACUGCCCGAUGGAGGGGGUUAACUACUGGAAACGGUAGCUAAUACCGCUUACUAUCGGAGGUGCCCCGAGGGGCUUAGCUAGUAGGUGGGGUAACGGCUCACCUGGGCGACGAUCCCUAGCUGGUCUGAGAGGAUGACCAGCCACACUGGAACUGAGACACGGUCCAGACUCCUACGGGAGGCAGCAGUGGGGAAUAUUGCACAAUGGGCGCAAGGCUGAUGCAGCCAUGCCGCGUGUAUGAAGAAGGCCUUCGGGUUGUAAAGUACUUUCAGCGAGGAGGCGUUACUCGCAGAAGAAGCACCGGCUAACUCCGUGCCAGCAGCCGCGGUAAUAC
rnacentral:rRNA from 1 species